UACGUAGGGUGCGAGCGUUAAUCGGAAUUACUGGGCGUAAAGCGUGCGCAGGCGGUUUUGCAAGCCAGAUGUGAAAGCCCCGGGCUUAACCUGGGAAUGGCAUUUGGGACUGCAAGGCUGGAGUGUGGCAGAGGAGACUGGAAUUCCUGGUGUAGCAGUGAAAUGCGUAGAUAUCAGGAGGAACACCGAUGGCGAAGGCAGGUCUCUGGGCUGACACUGACGCUCAUGCACGAAAGCGUGGGGAGCAAACAGG
rnacentral:rRNA from 1 species